AAUCGCAGAUCAGCAUGCUGCGGUGAAUACGUUCCCGGGUCUUGUACACACCGCCCGUCACACCAUGGGAGUUGGAAUGCCCGAAGCCUGUGACUGAACCGAGAGGGCAGAGCAGUCGAAGGCAGGUCUAAUGACUGGGGUGAAGUCGUAACAAGGUAAC
rnacentral:rRNA from 1 species